CAGCACCUCAAGUGGUCAGGAUGAUUAUUGGGCCUAAAGCAUCCGUAGCCGGCGCUGUAAGUUUUCGGUUAAAUCUGUACGCUCAACGUACAGGCUGCCGGGAAUACUGCAGCGCUAGGGAGUGGGAGAGGUAGACGGUACUCGGUAGGAAGGGGUAAAAUCCUUUGAUCUAUUGAUGACCACCUGUGGCGAAGGCGGUCUACCAGAACACGUCCGACGGUGAGGGAUGAAAGCUGGGGGCGCAAAACGGAUUAGAGACCCGAGUAGUCC
rnacentral:rRNA from 1 species